AUGGCUAGGUCGAACAGGUCUUCUUCUAGUGCCUCCGUAGAAAACAAUGGAUCAACUCAGUCAACUGCACAGGCUAAAAAGCCUAGAACACCAAGAACUAGGACUCCAGCCGGUCUCAGACUAGAGGAAAUUGACCGACCGCUUAUAGUUCCCGUUGGCAUGGCAUGGGAAAGGCACCCAUACAACGCUCGUGAUCCAUCAACGGUGCUAGGUGCCUUAGUGCGCCAGAUGUAUCCACCGCCAAUUGGUCCAAAAAAUGAUCAGAAACCGGUAUUGUGUUGGGAGGACUACAAGUGGUCCCCUGGUCCAGAAGUAAGAACAGCAGCUUCCAAAAUAGUGGAAGAAUUUUGGUGGCGUUUCAAGUGCGACCCAUCGGAGCAAGAGAAGGCAGAUGGUGUUUUGGAGGAGAACUUAACUAGGAAAAAACUCAAAACUGGGAAAGACCCUAGAAUUUCUGGUGCUUGGCUUCACACGCACAAAUUGCAUCGAGGGACUGAUGAAGAGCAGAUAUGCAGUCAAAGAACUGCUGAUCAUUGGGAGGAUUUUGAUAAGGCAAUGAAAAAUGCCCAUGGAGAAAAUUGGGAAGAGGAGCACCCGGAUUUAGAUGGACAGAUCAUGUAUGAAGCAGCAGGCAGAAUGCCACAUGGCAGGCUGGGAAUUGCUAAUGAGUUGUUUAGCAAACCAGAGAAGGCGAAGUUUAAGUCUAAAAGGGCGAUGGCCUCACAGCCGGUGCAGUCUGCUAAGGAGGAGCGUCUAGAAAGAGAAAACAAACAUUUGAAGCAGGAGAUCAAGCGUCUUCGAGGCAUUGAGCUUGUUGUUCAGUCUUUGGCUGAGAAAGGGGGAGUCGACUUUGAUGGCAUAAUGCAAUCAGCAGCAGAUGACUUGUCUCCAUCAUAUUCUGAAGGCGGAUUUCAAAGGGGACGAGGUGAUGUGCCUCAACACCAAACCGAAAAGGGAAUGGGAAGCAGGACUGGAGGCAGUACGAGUCAUGGAAAUGAUGAUGAAGAUGACUACUAUGGCAAUGGGGGAUAUGAUAACUAUGGCGAGGGUGAUCUGUAUGGUGAUGAGCACUAUGAUCACUAUGGCCAUGGGGAAUAUGAUGACUACGGAGAUGAGGAUGACUAUGGCUAUGGCGGUGGCGAUGAUGAUGAUUGGCUAUAA
rnacentral:rRNA from 1 species